rnacentral:rRNA from 1 species
CUCCGGUUGAUCCUGCCAGAGGUUACUGCUAUCGAGGUUCGACUAAGCCAUGCGAGUCGAAUGUAGCAAUACAUGGCGAACUGCUCAGUAACACGUGGACAACCUGCCCUUAGGACGGGGAUAAACCCGGGAAACUGGGUAUAAUACCCGAUAGGUCUCGAUUGCUGGAAUGCAUCGAGAUUUAAAGCUCCGGCGCCUAAGGAUGGGUCUGCGGCCUAUCAGGUAGUAGUGGGUGUAGCGUACCUACUAGCCUACGACGGGUACGGGUUGUGAGAGCAAGAGCCCGGAGAUGGAUUCUGAGACACGAAUCCAGGCCCUACGGGGUGCAGCAGGCGCGAAAACUUUACAAUGCUGGCAACAGCGAUAAGGGAACCUCGAGUGCCAGGUUACAAAUCUGGCUGUCGAGAUGCCUAAAAAGCAUUUCAUAGCAAGGGCCGGGCAAGACCGGUGCCAGCCGCCGCGGUAACACCGGCGGCUCGAGUGGUAACCGUUAUUAUUGGGUCUAAAGGGUCUGUAGCCGGCCGGAUAAGUCUCUUGAGAAAUCUGGCAGCUUAACUGUCAGGCUUUCAGGAGAUACUGUCUGGCUCGAGGCCGGGAGAGGUGAGAGGUACUUCAGGGGUAGGGGUGAAAUCUUGUAAUCCUUGAAGGACCACCAGUGGCGAAGGCGUCUCACCAGAACGGACCUGACGGCAAGGGACGAAAGCUAGGGGCACGAACCGGAUUAGAUACCCGGGUAGUCCUAGCCGUAAACGAUACUCGCUAGGUGUCGGCCACGGUGCGACCG